rnacentral:lncRNA from 1 species
CAGUCCCGAUAUUUGGGGCUCUCUUUUAUAUGGGCUCCUAUUACCCAGGGCCGGCUUUAGGACCUGCGGGGCCCGAUUCCACGGUCCGGGUCUUCGGCGGCACCUCGGCGGUGGGGGGUUCCACUCCGUGUCUUCUGCGGCACUGAAGAACCCCCCCGCCGCCAAAAUGCCGCCGGAGCGGACGGCCGCCAGGUGAGCCUAAGGCGCGGGGCCCUCUUAGGUGCGGGUGCGGGGCCCGAUUCCGGGGAACUGGCCUAAAGCCGGCCCUGCUUAUCACUCCCCCAUCCCCUGUCCUGAUUUUUCACACUUGCUGUCUGGUCACCCGAGUCAAGACACAGGUUUCUAUUACCAGAUCUGACACCCGGGGCAAGGCACUUCCUCCGCGCCUCAGUUUCCCCAUCUCUAGGGCAGGGAGAACACGACUCACCUCUGCAAAGCGCUUUGCGGUCUCUGGAGAAAAGCACGACGAUCGGGGGGGGUUUCUUACCUAAGGUGCUGCAGGCAGGGAUCUUCUAUUGGCCGGGAGCUGGCCGGAACAAUCCCCCCCCCCCUUGGCCCGGUUUUCAAGGCACCUUUAUCUCCUGGAGUGCCGAUCCAGUGGGAUCAACAUGCCAAUGCGGCGUGGGAGAAAGGAGCAGGCGCUGGCAUGUAAACGCUUCCCCACUGCAUCUCCAGCGGCUGGGGCCCGGGGCGCACACGCCACUUUCCCCUUCAGCAGCUCCAGGGCGCUGCCAACCCCAUUGCGGCUCCCACACCGAGCCCCCAAGCCGUCCAGGGGGCUGGUCCAGUUUAAACCCGGGGGGCUGCCGCGGGCAGGGCGAAGGGGCGCAGCCGGCAGCUCCUAGGCGAUCACCCGGGGCUGGGCGGGAUUUACUUGGGUCCUUCUUUGGGUACGAAGGGGCAGCUGCUCCUGUAGCCCCCCCAUGCAGUCCGGGGGCCUUUGCUGAGCUAGCUCGCCCCUUGGCUAGGUCCCGGGGGGCCACCAGCCGGGGCUCCCCUCUGGCCCCACCGCGCCUCCCAUACCGCCUGGCCCGGCCCUCGGAGCGACUGAACCGGCUUGUGUACGAGGAAGAUUUCCAGGCUCGGCAAGGUGGGGCGCCACCUCCCUCUUA